AAGUCGUAACAAGGUUUCCGUAGGUGAACCUGCGGAAGGAUCAUUAACACGUACCCACGUUUAUCACCCGCGAAUCUCUUAGGUAAGCUUAUUUGAAUAAAGCUUCUGACGCACCUUUAACAGAUAUGCUUGCAUAUCUGUCGAGGGAGUGUUGAAAGCCCGGCCCUCAAAUAAUUUAUUAUUUGUGUGGCCAUUGAAUUCGCUUCCUUUGAAAUACACUUUAAUCAACUCUCUUCGGAUUGUUUUUUGAGGUGUUUGUCUUUAGAGGACUUCCCUUUGGGGCGGACCUCUAAGGAUUAAGAAACCCCUUUUUUCUAAACUAAAAGCCGUCUCUUUGUAGACCGCUUUUAACCGAAUGCUGUACAACUCUUAGCAACGGAUAUCUUGGUUCUG
rnacentral:misc_RNA from 1 species